rnacentral:tRNA from 1 species
GGGCGAGUGGUGAAAUUGGCAGACACGCAGGACUUAGGAUCCUGUGCCGCAAGGCUUGGGGGUUCAAGUCCCCCCUCGCCCA